GAACGAACGCUGGCGGCGUGCCUAACACAUGCAAGUCGAGCGGGAAAGUUCCCUUCGGGGAGCGAGUACAGCGGCGAACGGGUGAGUAACACGUAGGUAACCUACCCUGGAGACUGGGAUAACCUGCCGAAAGGCGGGCUAAUACCAGAUAAGACCACGAGGGCUGCGGCCCUUGAGGUAAAAGAUGGCCUAUGCUUGCAAGCUAUCACUCCGGGAUGGGCCUGCGCGCCAUUAGCAGUUGGUGAGGUGACGGCUCACCAAGGCAGAGAUGGCUAGCUGGUCUGAGAGGAUGGCCAGCCACACUGGGACUGAGACACGGCCCAGACUCCUACGGGAGGCAGCAGU
rnacentral:rRNA from 1 species